AUGCUGUCCCUUUUUUUAGAUCCCUCUGAUGUGCAAAAUCUGAUUGUGGUGAGUGUGACAAAUGUUAGCGCCAACCUCAAGUGGAGUAAACCAGAUGGAAACCAUGAGUCAUACUCGGUAUAUGUCAAAUACAAGUCAAAUAAAAAUGUUACAGAACGAGUCCAAGAGUGUCAAGAUGAAGAGUGCACUAUUACGGCUCUUAUUCCAGGAACCGAGUAUGUAUUCACAGUUACAGCUGUAGUGAAUAAGACGAUUGAAGGUGUGCCGAGCAAUGUUUCUAAUUACACCAUACCUUCAACUGUCAGGAACCUAAGAUCAGCAGACAAUGACAGUACAGUCAUAAUGGCCUUUUGGGAUCCUCCUACUGGUAAUCAUUCAGGUUACCGCUAUUGUCUUAAAGAAGUCAAUAACAGCCGCGAGUGUACUUACUGCAACAUUGCAUCAGACAGCAGCAUUACAGCAAACAACAACAUCACAAACAGUAGUGAUACAACUACUGUCAGUAUUGCAGACUGCAAAACAGUGGAUGGAACAGAAACAUUUAUCAAAGUGACUAAUAAAUCAGACGGCAGCAUGUUUUGUCUGUGUGUGGCAGCACUAACAAAGACCAACACUCUGUCAGGAGAAAUGGUCACAAUCUUAGCAUACACAAAACCAAAAACUGUGACCCUCUUUUUGAACCCCAGCUCCCAAACCAUUUUUGCCAACUGGACAGUAGAAGGGAAGUAUGAAAAAUUUGAAGUUAGUAUUACAACGGAUGCAUACAUUUAUACCGACCAGUUUACUACUCCAAACUUGAAUUACUCGUUCAAAGAUCUGAAGGCAGGAGUGAAUUACAACGUUUCAGUUGUCACACUAAAUGGUAAACUGAGAAGUAAUCCUGCUAAUAAAUCAGAGUUCACGCGGCCUGCUAAACCUCGUGAUGUAAAGGCCACCGCUAUCAAAAAUAACAUACAGCUAAGCUGGGGUGCUCCAGUUGAGUCUGAGGGUGCCUUGAUUCAAUAUAUAGUGAAAUAUAACACUUCUUUCUGGGAUGAAACUAAUGAAAUAAAUACAACUGAGACAAAUAUCACCAUUCCUUAUUUAAGACCAGGAACAAAAUAUACGUUCAAUGUCAUGGUCUUGGCUGGAAAUCUGAGUGAUCCAGCCACUACUCAUGCAAACACAGGUAAAGAGACUACAUUUUGUUUGUUUAUGAAGCAAACAUUUGGCUUUGUUUACUUCUAUUGCGCUUCAUGAUUAUGCUGUUCAUUCUAACAUGUUAUUAGAAUGAGUAUUUUGAGUAAUUUUUCCAUGUUUAAAAUCGUCUUUUGUUUAUUUCCAGAGCCUGAGUAAGAGGACACUGGUCCUCACGAUGUUGUGUUCCUCUCAAACCGCACUUCAUUGUGACAAACCUGAAACUCGGAAUGAACUGUUUGAAACGGUGAAGAAAUGUUCAAAGACUACAUCAAGCUUGUUGCAACUUUACAGUAACAGAAUUAUUAUGCAAUGAAUGCACACGAGAAAAAAAGAUGAUGAUUAAAAAAACACAAUGACCAACAUUUAUUAAAUAGUAACUAUAUAUAUAUGUGUGUGUGUGUGUGUGUGUGUGUGUGUGUGUGUGUGUGUGUGUGUGUGUGUGUGUGUGUGUGUUUUAUUUAAACCUUUUUAUCUUGAAUGCUAAUUAAAAAAUAAUAAUAAAUAAACAUUCUAAAACAGCUUUGUGCAAAUAGCUGGAAAAUGUAACUGAAAUAAACACAAAUUUUCUUUCUGUCUUUCAGCUGAAAAAAAAAAAUGAUGACAAAUUUCAAGACUUGGUCCACUGGAAGCUUAAAGCAAAAACUAGGUUUGUAAAAAUUCUAAAACAGCUUUGUGCAAAUAGCUGGAAAAUGUAACUGAAAUAAACACAAAUUUUCUUUCUGUCUUUCAGCUGAAAAAAAAAAUAGAUGACAAAUUUCAAGACUUGGUCCACUGGAAGCUUAAAGCAAAAACUAGGUUUGUAAAAACAGCUGGAUUUUUUACAAAUUACUAUGAUUUAUAUUAACCUCUGACUCUCAUUUCACAGCAAAGACAUCCUUUGAAUCUCUAUGAUGUGGCCUACAAUCAAGAAAAAAAUCACACACUGAAAUUUUGUGUGAUUUCAUGCCUGGUGAAUUCUGAAUUUAUUUUCUUACAUUUCCAUGAAUGCAACUUACAAAAGAGGAACAAAAGCAAUGUGUCAGAGAGCCAACAAUAUAUGUUAUAUACAAUUUUAUUAGAUUAGAUUAGGAAACAAGGGAGAGAAGAGGAAACAUUUAGAGAAGAAAUAUAAGUUUUUGGUAAACUUUACGGGAACCAAAUGUCCUCACAGGGAUAGCAAAACCUGAUAUUUUUGACUUUUGCUUGUUUGUUUUUUAUUUUCUGUGCGAGUUUGGGGUGAGGGUAUAGAAUAUUCAGUAUAAAAAUCAUUAUGUCUUUGGAAAGUGCAUUGGUUUAAGAGGUUGUUAAGUGCUUGUUUUUAGCUUCUUGGAGGGUUUUAUUUUGAUUCUCACUCAUUUUUGGGCCUGUAUGGCAAUUUUUUCUUCUUACAAAUUGCAUAUUGACAUUUACUAUAGAUUGAGUGGUGUGAUGAUAUUUGCUAUAGUUGUGGGAGCUAUAAUUCAUCUUCAAAACUGUAACAUGAAUACCUUUUUUUUUAAGACCUUUGCUAUAGCUUCAUUUGAAUUCCAGUUUUAAUGUUCAUGAUGGAUUACUGCUGAUUAUUUUGGGGACUGGUUUCAUUAUAAUUAAAGAUAUUACACAUGGGUUUGUUUGCUUUAUUUCACUACUUUAUGAAAGUAUAAUUACUUUCUUUCCAACUUGUGAUGUUCAUUUACAUCUAUAACCACGAGUCCUCAGUAUUUCUGUCUUGUUUUCCAAAUAUAUAAACAUUCUAAAAUCAAGAUACAUUUACUUGAAAAAUUAUAAAAUAAUAUACAUAUAUAUAUAUAUGAGUAUUAAAUAUAUAUGUCGAAUAUAUAUAUAUAUAUAUAUAUAUAUAUAUAAAAAAGCAGAAUAUGACCAUCACGGAUCUCUUGUUGUAAUAGAACACUCCCACCGUGUGCUCUACUGCAUUAAUGCAUCGAUACAAGAGGCACAAUCCACAUACAACAUAAUGUGAUUGUGAAAGUGAUGUGACGUGUAGCCAAGUGCAUACACAUAACUAUAGACUGAGCAAGUAAUACGUCUCAUAGCCCUACUAAUUCACCCAUCAAAAUCUCACUCCAGCCAGGAAAGUGAAUUUGUCAGCCCUGGUUUAUUCAAAGAAUCAGACCUCCUUCCAGACUUUCUGAACGCCUGGUUUAUUCAAAGAAUCAGACCUCCUUCCAGACUUUCUGAACGGCGUCAUGCCAGAUAAUGUGAACAAAAACACACAUUUCUCUUAUCCUACAUGUACAAACAUAGAGUAGUGCGAGCAUGAAUGCUCAAACACAGCCUUCACAGGUCAACUGCUCGUAAUAAACACUGAACUGAGUUAAGGACCGUUCAGAUAUAGAAAAGAAGAGGCUGCUAAUAGCCUACAGUACAUUGUCUAUGACUGAUAAAUAGGCGUCCAUCACUUCAAAACAUAUUUAAGAGUCCAUGCGUUCACGAUAUACAUAUAGUGCAAUAAAUAUAUGCAAAAACCUCUAAGAACAUUAAAAGUCCAGUUUUCUUCUUGUGAUUAGAACAUUAUUUAAAGAUUACUAAAAAAUAAAUUAAUUAAUUCUUAGAACUUUCAAGUACAAAAAAACUCAUGAGAACAUUCUGAGAACAUUCUAAGAAUGUUUUCUCUGAACAUUGCGAGAAAGUUACAUAAGUAUUAACUCUAAGAAUGUUUUGUCCUAACAUUUAUAUAACUUUAAAAAACAUAUUGAGAGUCCUGAGAAGGUUCCCUGUUAGCUGGGAAUGUUCUCUGCACUUUGGCUUACAUUCUGGCUAAAGUUCUACUUAAAGUAACAGGUAACACUUAUUCACGUUUAACUACAAAUGUUCCCUCAAUAAAUUCCUAAUUUCCUCUUUAUUAAUAGUUAGUAAGGUAGUUUUUAAGUUUAGGUACUAGAUUCAAUCAAAGAGUGCAGCAGCCAAUUGAACCAGGUGAUAAUUUCAUAACAGCCCUGUAUGCUCUUGCAGAAAACUGUACUCAAGAAUACAUCCAUUCCAGUCACGGAAGACUCUGAUUUGAAUUUACAACAUUCAUUUUAACAAACAAACAUGUUAGUACACACAAAUAAAAUUAAAUAAAAAGUGCCGCGCGAACUAUUCGUGUGGCGUAGUGCAUGGCAUUUUUUGUAACUUUCCGCAUAGCUCCGCAUCCGAACAUACAUGAGUUCAGGGUGAUUCUAGCUGAACAUGCACGUCUGUGCCGGCGUUUGUGUGAAACAGAAGUUUAAUGUGAAGUUCCAACUCCCUUAGGUGCUUUUUGACAGAAAGCGUGUUUGAAAAAAUGUCCAAGGCUUC
rnacentral:lncRNA from 1 species